UUCAUCUUCUACACUAAAGCAUCCUGAAACU
rnacentral:piRNA from 1 species